GCGUGGCUUAGUGGUUUACAGAGUUGGACUAGGAUCUGCGAGACCAGGGUUCAAGUCCCUGCUGAGCCA